AGAAUACGAACCCGCCGGACGCAAGACACAUAAACCGUGUGGAAGAGUAGGAGCUGCACGCAGUAGCAGUUUAGCAGAUGUGAUGUAAUCACACCACACAGCAGCGUGGAACAGACAACACAAGACUAUUCCUUGUUGAAGGACUCGUCCUCGGGCAGAACUUCGAUACCAAGCAAAGAGCGCCUUCCUUGUAAGAGUCAAUUCGCAACUGCUUGAUUUCCCAGAUAGACAAAUACGUGUUUUACAAUACACACCAGUGUGAUCUCAUGGCACCUCCAGGAAGCCGAAAGUACUGGUGCUACAAAUGGCUUCUACAUGGGCUGAAAAACAAGAACAAAACUAUACACUCCUCAGAAGGACGACUUCCAUCUUCAACCAAAAUUAGUUAGGCAAACGUGUGGUUUCAGCUUGCAUUUGUCUGCUUCAAAGAUUACGUGUACCAAGACCAUCACAACAGCAAUAAUUGACCUGUUUUGCUAGGCUCUAA